AACGAACGCUGGCGGCAUGCCUAACACAUGCAAGUCGAACGAGACCUUCGGGUCUAGUGGCGCACGGGUGCGUAACGCGUGGGAAUCUGCCCUUUGCUUCGGAAUAACAGUGAGAAAUUACUGCUAAUACCGGAUGAUGUCUUCGGACCAAAGAUUUAUCGGCAAAGGAUGAGCCCGCGUAGGAUUAGCUAGUUGGUGGGGUAAUGGCCUACCAAGGCGACGAUCCUUAGCUGGUCUGAGAGGAUGAUCAGCCACACUGGGACUGAGACACGGCCCAGACUCCUACGGGAGGCAGCAGUGGGGAAUAUUGGACAAUGGGCGAAAGCCUGAUCCAGCAAUGCCGCGUGAGUGAUGAAGGCCUUAGGGUUGUAAAGCUCUUUUACCCGGGAUGAUAAUGACAGUACCGGGAGAAUAAGCUCCGGCUAACUCCGUGCCAGCCGCCGCCGUAA
rnacentral:rRNA from 1 species